GACUCAAAGCAGUGACAUAUUAGUCUGGAAAAGGAGAACAGCAGGAGGAGGGGAUGGAAGGCACAGAGUUUGGACAAAUGACAUGAGCAACAGAGAAAAAAAUGAGUGGCUGUGGCUGAAUAAGGCAAAACCCAGAUGCUGACCAAGGUCAACAAAUACGAUGAACAAUUAUGACUAACUUCUAACAAAGGUGUCCCAUGUUUGGAUUCUUUAAAUCCCAUCUGUCAGUGUUGAAGUCUUUUAGAUUACGUACAUGUCUCCUCAUAUUCGUCCUUUUCUAUACCACCACCAGCCAAAUACCCAAGGAAGCAGCCGGCUCCAAGAGCAACAAAGUGAAAAAAAUGUGUGUUGACUUGCACUUCUAAUCAAGCCCAGAUUACACCAAUUUCUGGUGUCCUUCCAAUGUGAUGAUGUCAAGCUAAAUCACCUCUCAACAAAAAGCAUUUGAGCAUGGAAUACUUAGCAUUUGACUUCAUAGGAACAGCAGAGACCCAAUUUGAGGACUUGGAAGCCUUAGAAGAGGAUAGAAUCACUCUAUAGAAACAGCCUGGUUCUCAGGAUGUCUGUGUGGAGUAGUAUUUCCCGGGGGAUCCAUGUGGAACUGUGAGGUGAAGAAGAAAGAAACAUGUGCUACAAUAAACAACUGGAAUAAUGGGUGGGCUCAAUGCUAUAUCCAUCCUAUCUCUUAUCUCCAGUUACCUCAAAGGGUUGAUGUCAAGAGUAAAUAAAGAUAAUAUUUAAUGC